rnacentral:rRNA from 1 species
GACUACCAUGCAAGUCGAACGGCAGCACAGGGGAGCUUGCUCCUUGGGUGGCGAGUGGCGGACGGGUGAGGAAUACGUCGGAAUCUGCCCAGUCGUGGGGGAUAACUUAGGGAAACUUAAGCUAAUACCGCAUACGACCUUCGGGUGAAAGCGGAGGACCUUCGGGCUUCGCGCGAUUGGAUGAGCCGACGUCGGAUUAGCUAGUUGGUGGGGUAAAGGCCUACCAAGGCGACGAUCCGUAGCUGGUCUGAGAGGAUGAUCAGCCACACUGGAACUGAGACACGGUCCAGACUCCUACGGGAGGCAGCAGUGGGGAAUAUUGGACAAUGGGCGCAAGCCUGAUCCAGCCAUGCCGCGUGAGUGAAGAAGGCCCUCGGGUUGUAAAGCUCUUUUGUCCGGAAAGAAAAGCUUUCGGUUAAUACCCGGAAGUCAUGACGGUACCGGAAGAAUAAGCACCGGCUAACUUCGUGCCAGCAGCCGCGGUAAUACGAAGGGUGCAAGCGUUACUCGGAAUUACUGGGCGUAAAGCGUGCGUAGGUGGUUCGUUAAGUCUGAUGUGAAAGCCCUGGGCUCAACCUGGGAAUUGCAUUGGAUACUGGCGGGCUAGAGUACGGUAGAGGGUGGCGGAAUUCCCGGUGUAGCAGUGAAAUGCGUAGAGAUCGGGAGGAACAUCUGUGGCGAAGGCGGCCACCUGGACCAGUACUGACACUGAGGCACGAAAGCGUGGGGAGCAAACAGGAUUAGAUACCCUGGUAGUCCACGCCCUAAACGAUGCGAACUGGAUGUUGGGUGCAACUUGGCACUCAGUAUCGAAGCUAACGCGUUAAGUUCGCCGCCUGGGGAGUACGGUCGCAAGACUGAAACUCAAAGGAAUUGACGGGGGCCCGCACAAGCGGUGGAGUAUGUGGUUUAAUUCGAUGCAACGCGCAGAACCUUACCUGGCCUUGACAUCCACGGAACUUUCCAGAGAUGGAUUGGUGCCUUCGGGAACCGUGAAACAGGUGCU